CAUGCACGCUCUAAGUACAAACUAAAUGAUGGUGAAACUGCAAAUGGCUCAUUACAACGGUUAUGAUGUACCCGGGAGUUCCGAUGGAUAUUUCCAGUAACACUAGAACUAAUACAUGCUCCUGCGUUUAUUAGUUUCGCACAGUCCGUCGCUGAGUCAUGGUAAACAGUUGAUCGACUCGACGUCCCGGAACAGUUUCCGCCCCAUCAGCUUCGAUGGUUGGGUAUUGGCCUACCAUUGCAACAACGGGUAACGAGGAAUUAGGGUUUGAUUUCGGAGAGGGAGCCUGAGAAACGGCUACCACAUCUACGGAUGGCAGCAGGCGCGCAAAUUACCCAAUGCAGACUCUGUGAGGUAGUGACGAGAAAUAAUAAAGCGGGACUUCUGUUUCGCUAUUAUAAUGAGGAAUAACCAAAGGUCAUUCCGAUUAGCAACUGAUGGGAAAGUCUGGUGCCAGCAGCCGCGGUAAUACCAGCGUCAGUAGCAUAUAUUAAAAUUGUUGCAGUUAAAACGUCCGUAGUCUGUACGUCGUCCCAAACUCACUGCAGUCUUCCGUUUUCUUCAUUGAAUGCGGUAGUUUCUGCAGUCACUCCCUUGAUCAAAUUAGGUUGUUCAAGGUAGACCAAGUCUUCAUAUUUUCACAUGGAAUUGGGUGAGGGAACUUAAGAGUUUAAGUUUCUCGUCUUAGGAUCAUCCGGGGUCAUUCGUACUCGUCCGCGAGAGGUGAAAUUCUUGGACCGGACGAAGACGACCAGCAGCGAAAGCAUCUGUCAGGGAUGUUUUCUGCGACAAAGGACGAAGGUCAGGGUAUCGAAGACGAUUAGAUACCGUCGUAG
rnacentral:rRNA from 1 species